AUUGAACGCUGGCGGCAUGCUUUACACAUGCAAGUCGAACGGCAGCGCGGGGCAACCUGGCGGCGAGUGGCGAACGGGUGAGUAAUAUAUCGGAACGUACCCAGAAGUGGGGGAUAACGUAGCGAAAGUUACGCUAAUACCGCAUACGAUCUACGGAUGAAAGUGGGGGACCUUCGGGCCUCAUGCUUGUGGAGCGGCCGAUAUCUGAUUAGCUAGUUGGUAGGGUAAAGGCCUACCAAGGCGACGAUCAGUAGCUGGUCUGAGAGGACGACCAGCCACACUGGGACUGAGACACGGCCCAGACUCCUACGGGAGGCAGCAGUGGGGAAUUUUGGACAAUGGGCGCAAGCCUGAUCCAGCAAUGCCGCGUGAGUGAAGAAGGCCUUCGGGUUGUGAAGCUCUUUUGUCAGGGAAGAAACGGCUGAGGAUAAUACCUUCGGCUAAUGACGGUACCUGAAGAAUAAGCACCGGCUAACUACGUGCCAGCCGCCGCGGUAACAC
rnacentral:rRNA from 1 species